CAGCAGCCACGGGAAUACGUAGGGUGCGAGCGUUAAUCGGAAUUACUGGGCGUAAAGCGUGCGCAGGCGGUUGUGUAAGACAGGUGUGAAAUCCCCGGGCUUAACCUGGGAACUGCGCUUGUGACUGCACAGCUAGAGUAUGGCAGAGGGGGGUGGAAUUCCACGUGUAGCAGUGAAAUGCGUAGAGAUGUGGAGGAACACCGAUGGCGAAGGCAGCCCCCUGGGCCAAUACUGACGCUCAUGCACGAAAGCGUGGGGAGCAAACAGGAUUAGAUACCCCCGUAGUCCCUGUCUCUUAUAC
rnacentral:rRNA from 1 species